rfam:Ovis aries breed Texel chromosome 5, whole genome shotgun sequence.
UCCCUGGUGGUCUGUUGGUUGAGACUCUGCACUUCCAAUGCAGGGGGCCAGGGUUCAAUCCCUGGCUGGGGAA